AUUACUUUGAAGAUCUUCACCUCUGCUCAGAUUUAUUUAUUUAUUUAUUUAUUCUCCUUCAGUUACAACAACAAAGCUUCUGGAAACUUCUCUUUGGCUCGGGGUACUUUGUAAGGACAGGCUCUUGGUUACAUGGUGAGCUCCAUCUGCGUGCCUGGAGGAGCAUCGGGCUUGCAGGGGAUGCAUUGCAACCAAAGGCUGUGAAGUUCUGGAGCAAGGAAAUUGAAGAAAUAUUCAGAUAAGUCGGAAAUGGUCCUGCUGCACAUGCACAGCAAUUACCCAUGUGGGUCUUUGUGACAUUGUUCUUCAGCUGCAGAUCCUGGGAGAUCGCCACAGUCACACACAAUCAAACAAAAGGAGUCUAAUGAAAGUAUUUUAAUCUGCUGAUCAGCUAUUUGGAGGGAAAGGCUGUGCUAGGUGUCUUCACAGUCUGGAAAUGAACACAGCGAUGUGAGCAUUGUGAGCAGGACACAGGAGCCUUGUUGCUGGGGGAACAGCUGUCCUCUGCAGGAUCUUCAGUUCUGAGAUGCUUCCAGCUGCAACAAACAUCAGUAAACCAAGUUAUAUGAGGUAAGGGAAAUUAGCCUUAUCCAGGCACUCAUAAGGAAAGAACAGGAAAAGUGUUCUGGGAAUAAGACGAAGUCUACUAUAUAAUUUGUAUUUUGGUUCCUCGUUGUGUUUAGAAUGACAAAACAUGUAUCGGUGCAUUUAUUUUCCUGCCUAAAUGUUUUACCAAAAAAUAUACCAACUCUCCCAAAUUCCCCCAUGGCUGUAAAUAGACCAGUGAUGGAAAGAGUCUCUGGGUAAAGCUCUGCUCACCUGCCUGAGAACUGCCUGAAGCUGCUGAAAAUUACAGUAUUGAGCAAAACUUCUCUCUAUAAAAAGCAGACCAACUAACAGUCCUAUUACUGAUACACCGUGACCACAAAGGAAAUUCACAUAAUCGUAUCAGUCUGGGUGGUGAUCCUAGAGGAAUGAGCAAUAAUUAGUCCUUUUGUGCUGUGAUUUCCUACAGAUGUCAAACUACAGCACACUGUGCAGAAAAGCAAUUAAGAAUACUUUUGUUAAUAGCUUCUUAUUUGUCUCAUUUCUUUAUCAUGUUGCGCCUUUUUGUAUUGCCAAAAAAUGUUGGACUUUUCCAUCAGCUGCCCAGGCAAUAUCACUUUACCCAGAGCUACAUGCUGUACUCGUAUAAAGAAAGAUAUUUUUCUUUUACUGAAAUGAAUCCAUAAAAAUAUACUCUGGAAUAAGUGGGGAAAAAAAAGAACACAAAAUGCAAUAAAUUGUUCAGACUGAGAAUAGGUUUUAUUCACGCUUUGUCUAUGUAAUACCUGAAGUUCUUGUACUGCUGCUGUUGUUUGUAGUAAAUUAGGUAUCACCUCUUCUCAGACUCUUUUUACCAUUAUCCUCUCUGUUAUCUAUUCUUUUUCCCCUACUCAUCAUCUUCCUUCCUCUUCGUGAAAUGUUAUAAAAGAGAAAAUUGCUAAGUUUGAGGAUCAGACGAGAGGAAAAUUAUGUGCUUCCUAUC